rnacentral:rRNA from 1 species
GUAGGGAAUAUUGGACAAUGGGCGCAAGCCUGAUCCAGCCAUGCCGCGUGAGUGAUGAAGGCCUUAGGGUUGUAAAGCUCUUUCAGUGGGGACGAUAAUGACGGUACCCACAGAAGAAGCCCCGGCUAACUUCGUGCCAGCAGCCGCGGUAAUACGAAGGGGGCUAGCGUUGUUCGGAUUUACUGGGCGUAAAGCGCACGUAGGCGGAUCGUUAAGUCGGGGGUGAAAUCCUGGAGCUCAACUCCAGAACUGCCUUCGAUACUGGCGAUCUUGAGUCCGGAAGAGGUGAGUGGAACUCCUAGUGUAGAGGUGGAAUUCGUAGAUAUUAGGAAGAACACCAGUGGCGAAGGCGGCUCACUGGUCCGGUACUGACGCUGAGGUGCGAAAGCGUGGGGAGCAAACAGGAUUAGAUACCCCGGUAGUCC